rnacentral:lncRNA from 1 species
CAAGAUUUCUUUUUUACUUGAAGGUCUGAAAAUAAUAACAUUUUUCUGACGUUCUACCCGUGCGCUCCGUGUUGGGACAUCGCGCGAAUUUGAAAAGACGCGCGCUUCGGAAAAUGCGGCAUUGUGGGUAAUGUGGACGCCAUCUCAAAUUCAGUCUCCAGUUCCGAAUGUGUGGUUAUUCGCUAUCGGGCCUGAAUAUUGUAGAACACAAAGUCAUGGUGAAAUAAUAAAAAUUUAUCGCCCUUUUGUCGCGUGUGCUCUUUACAGAUACCUUCGCAAUCCCUCGAAGCCUUUCGGACACUUCCUAGGUUCAAUUUUAUUAUUUAUUUGUUUAGGAAUAUUUUCAAGAAAUGAGUGCGAUGAGCGCCUCUCCUGUGAAGCCAAUUUUGCCUCCUGGAGUUACCUCCUCCCCUCCUAAAGUAGUUCCCCCAAGCACCACAACUUCGUCCAUAGCUCCGAGUAUACCUUCAGCCGCUUGUAAUUUGCCUGGUAGCCCAUUGAAAACUGCCAGCUUCAACAAUUCAGUGAGUCUCAGCUUAGUUUCAGACAACAAGCCUCAGCCGCCGCAGCCAGCUGCCGUUACAGUUCCAUCAGUUCAGCCGCUUCCACGCACACCGGAAAAACCCAAGGAUGCUCCACCUGCUGCCCCUCUUCCUGUCAAUAAUAUUGCACCCAAGGUGACACCGAAUGGUGUGUCAUCUGCGGCUACUCCUACGCCAGUCUCUGCCCCUGCCACGGUUCCUAGUGCUGCCCCUGCCACGGUUCCUAGUGCUGCCCCUGCCUCUGCACCGGCUCCAGUUCCAACACCAGCACCAGUAACAACGCCAGCACCUGUGACAACGCCAGCACCCGUAACGACAUCAGCUCCAGCCCCAGCUCCCGCCUCUAAGGAGCCUCUCACAAAUUCAGUCCCAGCCCCUAAAGAUAAAGAGAGCCCUGCCAAACAGGAAACUGCUCCACCAAAACCUGCCGGGAACCAUGCUCCCAGUGCUGUAGCCCUCCCCCACCUGCAGCUGCCGUUGCUAAACCUGAGCCGGCUCCUGCACCACCUGUAG